rnacentral:rRNA from 1 species
UACGUAGGGUGCAAGCGUUGUCCGGAAUUAUUGGGCGUAAAGGGCGCGUAGGCGGCCUUCUAAGUCAGACGUGAAAUCCCCCGGCUUAACCUGGGAACUGCGUCUGAUACUGGGAGGCUAGAGUAUGGGAGAGGGAUGUAGAAUUCCAGGUGUAGCGGUGAAAUGCGUAGAUAUCUGGAGGAAUACCGGUGGCGAAGGCGGCAUCCUGGACCAUUACUGACGCUGAGGCGCGAAAGCUAGGGGAGCAAACGGGG